rnacentral:rRNA from 1 species
UACGUAGGGGGCAAGCGUUGUCCGGAAUCAUUGGGCGUAAAGAGCGCGUAGGCGGCCCGAUAAGUCCGCUGUGAAAGUCAAGGGCUUAACCCUUGAAUGCCGGUGGAAACUGUCGGGCUAGAGUCCGGAAGAGGCGAGUGGAAUUCCUGGUGUAGCGGUGAAAUGCGCAGAUAUCAGGAGGAACACCAAUAGCGAAGGCAGCUCGCUGGGACGGUACUGACGCUAAGGCGCGAAAGCGUGGGGAGCGAACAGG